UGAGGAAUAUUGGUCAAUGGGCGGGAGCCUGAACCAGCCAAGUCGCGUGAGGGACGACGGUCCUAUGGAUUGUAAACCUCUUUUGUCGGGGAACAAAGGCGCCCACGGGUGGGCGGAUGAGUGUACCCGAAGAAAAAGCAUCGGCUAACUCCGUGCCAGCAGCCGCGGUAAUACGGAGGAUGCGAGCGUUAUCCGGAUUUAUUGGGUUUAAAGGGUGCGUAGGCGGACGGUCAAGUCAGCGGUAAAAAUGCGGUGCUCAACGCCGUACAGCCGUUGAAACUGGCAGUCUUGAGUGGGCGAGAA
rnacentral:rRNA from 1 species